GAUAAAGAACGCAGCGAAAUGCGAUAAGUAAUGUGAAUUGCAGAAUUCAGUGAAUCAUCGAAUCUUUGAACGCACAUUGCGCCCGCCAGUAUUCUGGCGGGCAUGCCUGUCCGAGCGUCAUUUCAACCAUCAAGCCCCGGGCUUGUGUUGGGGACCUGCGUCCGACGCAGGCCCUGAAAACCAGUGGCGGGCUCGCUGUCCACACCGAGCGUAGUAACUAACCUCGCUAUGGAGUGGCGCGGGCGCCUGCCGUAAAACCCCCAAUUUCACAAGGUUGACCUCGGAUCAGGUAGGAAUACCCGCUGAACUUAAGCAUAUCAAUAAGCGGAGGA
rnacentral:misc_RNA from 1 species